CCGAUGGUACUGGGGUUACUCCCGGGAGAGUAGGCCGCCGCCUUAU
rnacentral:rRNA from 1 species